rnacentral:ncRNA from 1 species
AGAUGAGGUAGAGGUCGCGGAUAUGAAGAGUACGCGCGGGGAGACGUCAAAGAGCCGUCCACGAACCGCCGCGGAAAGGCAUAGCCGCCGAAGUCCAUGCCGCCGCUCUUGUCCGGCAUGGACUGGGGCCGUACCCGAAAGGGACGGAACUGUCACGCCUGCGAAGCUUGCUUCGCGGCGUGUUGCGCUAUCUUCACU